rnacentral:snRNA from 1 species
AUACUUACCUGGCAGGGAGAUAUCAUGAUCACGAAGGUGAUUUCUCAGGGCGAGGCUUCUCCGUUGGACGUGGGAUGUGCUGACCCCUGCAACUUUUCCAAAUGUGUGAAACUCAACUGCAUAUUGUGUGGUAGUGGGGGACUGCAUUCACGCUCA